GAUUCAUGGCUCAGGAUGAACGCUAGCGACAGGCCUAACACAUGCAAGUCGAGGGGCAGCGAAGAGGUAGCAAUACCUUUGCCGGCGACCGGCGCACGGGUGAGUAACACGUAUGCAAUCCACCUGUAACAGGGGGAUAACCCGGAGAAAUCCGGACUAAUACCCCAUAAUAUGGGCGCUCCGCAUGGAGAGCCCAUUAAAGAGAGCAAUUUUGGUUACAGACGAGCAUGCGCU
rnacentral:rRNA from 1 species